rnacentral:rRNA from 1 species
GAGUUUGAUCCUGGCUCAGGAUGAACGCUAGCGGCAGGCUUAAUACAUGCAAGUCGAGGGGCAGCAGCUUUAUAGCAAUAUAGAGGCUGGCGACCGGCAAACGGGUGCGGAACACGUACACAACCUUCCUUGAAUAGGGGGAUAGCCCAUAGAAAUGUGGAUUAAUACCCCGUAAUAUAGCGGUGUGGCAUCACACUGUUAUUAUAGUUUCGGCGAUUCGAGAUGGGUGUGCGGCUGAUUAGGUAGUUGGCGGGGUAAAGGCCCACCAAGCCUUCGAUCAGUAGCUGAUGUGAGAGCAUGAUCAGCCACACGGGCACUGAGACACGGGCCCGACUCCUACGGGAGGCAGCAGUAAGGAAUAUUGGUCAAUGGACGCAAGUCUGAACCAGCCAUGCCGCGUGAAGGAUGAAGGUCCUCUGGAUUGUAAACUUCUUUUAUAGGGGGCGAAAAAAGGUCUUUCUAGAUCACUUGACAGUACCCUAUGAAUAAGCACCGGCUAACUCCGUGCCAGCAGCCGCGGUAAUACGGAGGGUGCAAGCGUUAUCCGGAUUCACUGGGUUUAAAGGGUGCGUAGGCGGGUAGGUAAGUCAGAGGUGAAAUCCUGGAGCUUAACUCCAGAACUGCCUUUGAUACUAUCUAUCUUGAAUAUGGUGGAGGUAAGCGGAAUAUGUCAUGUAGCGGUGAAAUGCAUAGAUAUGACAUAGAACACCUAUUGCGAAGGCAGCUUACUACGCCUAUAUUGACGCUGAGGCACGAAAGCGUGGGGAUCAAACAGGAUUAGAUACCCUGGUAGUCCACGCCCUAAACGAUGAUUACUCGACGUAUGCGAUACACAGUAUGCGUCUGAGCGAAAGCAUUAAGUAAUCCACCUGGGAGUACGACCGCAAGKUGAAACCUCAAGGAAUUGGCGGGGUCCGMACAGCGGUGGAGCAUGUGGUUAUUCGAUGAWAUCSCGAGGACCUUACCUGGGCUARAUGCRUCUGAACGUGGGUGAAAGCUCAUUCGUASCAAUACSCARAAUGWAGGUSCUGCAUUGCCUGUSCUWCGCUCUGGCCGUGG